AGAUUGAACGCUGGCGGCAUGCCUUACACAUGCAAGUCGAACGCGAAAGCGGGGGCAACCCCGCAAGUAGAGUGGCGAACGGGUGAGUAAUACAUCGGAACGUGUCCAGUAGCGGGGGAUAACCUCUCGAAAGAGAGGCUAAUACCGCAUACGACCUACGGGUGAAAGAGGGGGAUCGCAAGACCUCUCACUAUUGGAGCGGCCGAUGUCGGAUUAGCUAGUUGGCGGGGUAAAAGCCCACCAAGGCGACGAUCCGUAGCUGGUCUGAGAGGACGACCAGCCACACUGGAACUGAGACACGGUCCAGACUCCUACGGGAGGCAGCAGUGGGGAAUUUUGGACAAUGGGCGCAAGCCUGAUCCAGCCAUGCCGCGUGAGUGAAGAAGGCCUUCGGGUUGUAAAGCUCUUUCAGCGCAGACGAAGCGAAAGUGACGGUAUGCGCAGAAGAAGCACCGGCCAACUACGUGCCAGCAGCCGCGGUAA
rnacentral:rRNA from 1 species